UACGUAGGGUGCAAGCGUUGUCCGGAAUUAUUGGGCGUAAAGAGCUCGUAGGCGGUUCGGCAAGUCGGGUGUGAAAUUUCGAGGCUCAACCUCGAAACGCCACUCGAUACUGCUGUGACUGGAGUCCGGUAGAGGAGUGCGGAAUUCCUGGUGUAGCGGUGGAAUGCGCAGAUAUCAGGAGGAACACCGAUGGCGAAGGCAGAUCUCUGGGCCGUAACUGACGCUGAGGAGCGAAAGCGUGGGGAGCGAACAGG
rnacentral:rRNA from 1 species